rnacentral:rRNA from 1 species
GUGGGGAAUAUUGGACAAUGGGCGCAAGCCUGAUCCAGCCAUGCCGCGUGAGUGAUGAAGGCCUUAGGGUUGUAAAGCUCUUUCAGUAGGGAAGAUAAUGACGGUACCCACAGAAGAAGCCCCGGCUAACUUCGUGCCAGCAGCCGCGGUAAUACGAAGGGGGCUAGCGUUGUUCGGAUUUACUGGGCGUAAAGCGCACGUAGGCGGAUCGUUAAGUCGGGGGUGAAAUCCUGGAGCUCAACUCCAGAACUGCCUUCGAUACUGGCGAUCUUGAGUCCGGAAGAGGUGAGUGGAACUCCUAGUGUAGAGGUGGAAUUCGUAGAUAUUAGGAAGAACACCAGUGGCGAAGGCGGCUCACUGGUCCGGUACUGACGCUGAGGUGCGAAAGCGUGGGGAGCAAACAGGAUUAGAUACCCCGGUAGUCC